AGUGAACGCUGGCGGUAGGCCUAACACAUGCAAGUCGAACGGCAGCACAGUAAGAGCUUGCUCUUACGGGUGGCGAGUGGCGGACGGGUGAGGAAUACAUCGGAAUCUACUUUUUCGUGGGGGAUAACGUAGGGAAACUUACGCUAAUACCGCAUACGACCUACGGGUGAAAGCAGGGGAUCUUCGGACCUUGCGCGAUUGAAUGAGCCGAUGUCGGAUUAGCUAGUUGGCGGGGUAAAGGCCCACCAAGGCGACGAUCCGUAGCUGGUCUGAGAGGAUGAUCAGGCACACUGGAACGGAGACACGGUCCAGACUCCUACGAGAGGCAGCAGUGGGGAAUAAUGGACGAUGGGCGCAAGCCUGAUCCAGCCAUACCGCGUGGGUGAAGAAGGCCUUCGGGUUGUAAAGCCCUUUUGUUGGGAAAUAAAAGCAGCAGGUUAAUACCCCGCUGUUCUGAAGGUACCCAAAGAAUAAGCACCGGCUAACUUCGU
rnacentral:rRNA from 1 species